rfam:Gossypium raimondii Chr10_contig_42, whole genome shotgun sequence.
UGUUAAAAGUUUUAUCCAUUUUUAAAGUUAAAAACUAGUGUGCCUGACUGAACAAUCAAGCAACACCAUGUGUACCUCAUGAUGAUUUACAGGAGCCAAUUUUAAACAAUAAAAAUGGAUGGAAUUUUUAACA